rnacentral:rRNA from 1 species
GUGCCAGCCGCCGCGGUAAGACGUAGGGCGCGAGCGUUGUCCGGAUUUAUUGGGCGUAAAGGGCUCGUAGGCGGCUCGUCGCGUCUGCCGUGAAAAGCUCCGGCUUAACCGGGGUCGUGCGGUGGAUACGGGCGGGCUGGAGGUAGCUAGGGGAGACUGGAAUUCUACGUGUAGCGGUGAAAUGCGCAGAUAUGUGGAGGAACACCGGUGGCGAAGGCGGGCUCUGGGCUUACCUGACGCUGAGGAGCGAAAGCGUGGGGAGCGAACAGGAUUAGAUACCCUGGUAGUCCAUGCUGUAAACGGUGGGCGCUAGGUGUGGGUCCUUUUUGGUUCUGUGCCGUAGCUAACGCAUUAAGCGCCCGCCUGGGGAUACGGCGCAAGGCU